AACUCCGUUGUUUCCAUAGUCCAACUAUGGUUUUAUAAAACAGGAACCCUUAUUUACUGUCCUAACAGACUUUUAAUUCUGAGGAAUCAAAUAAACCCCUUUGAAGGUGUCGCCCCAAAAUACUUGUCGAUAAUCGCUGUUGCGAUGUCACUCCAUAGAGCCGAUAGACCAUCGUCACGGUGUCGCUCUAGCGAGCCAGUCAUUCCAUGAUGCAACCAAUCUCCAUUGUAUCCCUUUAUCAAUCCGUCUAUUCCUCCAUUUCGCCAAGUAUUCAUAACUUUAUCUACCCCCUCAAGGUUAUAACUAUUCUAGCAGAUGGUGCUGCAAAUAGUAGGUUGUUGGAGUUGCGUCUGAUUCACCAACUAUUGGGUCGUGAUUGGAGAGUUCGUCUUCGAUAUAUUUUGAAGGGCCACAACAAAGUUGCUAACCAUAUGGCUAAACUUCCAAAUUUAUAUUGCAAUGAGAUGCAGAUUUUUAUAAAGAUUCCAGUGUCGGCAGAAAAUUUACUCAAAUUAUAUUGACCGUUUGGCUAAUAUCAUUUGGUAGUAUGUUAUUAUA